rnacentral:lncRNA from 1 species
CUACAGUUUUUUUUUAUGUGCACACUCAUGCAAAAAUAUUUUUUUAUAAUACACAUCAAGAGGUUGUUUUUGUUGUACACAAAUCAAUCCACCAUAUUAAAAAUAAAAAUAAAGUGAAAUAAAAAACCCUUGUUUGAUUGAACCCAUGGAAUAUCACUUUUUGAUGCUCCCUACCACAAUGACAAAGCAAAGACAAAAAAAAAAGGCCAUGAUUAUCAUCAAUUAAGAUAACUCACGAAACAAAGUCGCAAGACCCAUGACAGUAAAUGAAUGUUUUUGAUUCAACCAACACACACACACACACACACACA